CUCUGUAAGAGACCUAUAAGCAGUAAUUAAUUGAAAUCUAUAAGAUACCUCAAUCCUAUUCACACAAAGUAUUUGAAGCCAAGCACUGAUCAAACGAACCAGCUUUUUGUCACUGGACUGCAUUACCCAGCAAGCUGUUUGUUGAAGGUGAACUCUGUUCACUUAACCAAGGAUCAUGCACAGAAACGGGUGAGCUAUCUUUCACUUCCUCCAAUGAAGUCAAACAAUCUGCUGCCUUCUGUGGAACAAGUAAUCUCCGGCUUGCUACACCGGCCUUCUUAACUGAGGAAACACCUAGUGACUUCUCACGGGUGAGGAACAAGAGGAAGCUGCUGUUGAGGCGGAGUACAUGCUUGGAACCCAUGAACUAAGCCUUAUGUGCUCUAGCUCUUCCGCCACUUCCAUCAUUGUAGGUCUCAUAUCCCUAUGAAAAGCAAGGCAUCUAAAUGCAAGCUCCGCCACAUUAUGUAUGGAUGAUAAUGUCCAAGCAUCCCUAUGUGGAUCAAGGUAUGGAUCUAUUAUCUCAUCAACACAACCUCUUCCAAUCCUGUCAAUAGCCAGUGCAGCCAAGUUUACCUCACUGUGAGGUCGAGAAAAAUCAACUACCUUCAGUGCAGUUAUGAUCUCUACAAGAACUACUCCAAA
rnacentral:misc_RNA from 1 species